ACAUGUCUUUUUGAGCGUAUUUAAAGUCGGGCCUGCCCACUGAAGUAUUUGAAGGGCCGCGGUAUUCUGACCGUGCAAAGGUAGCAUAAUCAUUAGUCUUUUAAUUGAAGGCUGGUAUGAAUGGUUUGACGAAGUAUAAGCUGUCUCAGUAUAAAAUAUAAAAUUUAACUUUUAAGUCAAAAGGCUUAAAUUUAAGUAAAGGACGAGAAGACCCUAUAGAGUUUUAUAUAAUUUAUAAUUGAAUUUUAGUAGGUGUAGUAAUUUUUAAUUAUAAAUUAUAUUUGGUUGGGGUGACCAAAAGAUAUAAUAAACUCUUUAUUUAUUAAACAUUGAUUUAUGAUUUUAUGAUCCAUUUUAUAGUGAUUAAAAGAUAAAAUUACCUUAGGGAUAACAGCGUAAUUUUUUUUGAGAGUUCUUAUCGACAAAAAAGUUUGCGACCUCGAUGUUGGACUAAGAAAAUGAUUUGAUGUAGCAGUUAAAUUAAUAAGUCUGUUCGACUUUUAAAUUCUUAC
rnacentral:rRNA from 1 species